CCUACGGGUGACAGCAGUGAGGAAUAUUGGUCAAUGGGCGCGAGCCUGAACCAGCCAAGUAGCGUGAAGGAUGACUGCCCUACGGGUUGUAAACUUCUUUUAUAAAGGAAUAAAGUGAGGCACGUGUGCCUUUUUGUAUGUAUGUUAUGAAUAAUGAUCGGCUAACUCCGUGCCAGCAGCCGCGGUAAUACGGAGGGUCCGAGCGUUAUCCGGAUUUAUUGGGUUUAAAGGGAGCGUAGAUGGGUUGUUAAGGCAGUUGUGAAAGUUUGCGGCUCAAACAUAGAAUUGCCGUUGAAACUGGGGGGCUUGAGGAUGUUGGAGGCAGGCGGAAUGCGUGGUGUAGCGGUGAAAUGCUUAGAUAUCACGCAGAACCCCGAGUGCGAAGGCAGCCUGCCAAGCCAUGACUGACGCUGAUGCACGAAAGCGUGGGGAUCAAACAGGAUUAGAUACCCCAGUAGUC
rnacentral:rRNA from 1 species